rnacentral:rRNA from 1 species
AACGAACGCUGGCGGCAGGCUUAACACAUGCAAGUCGAGCGCCCCGCAAGGGGAGCGGCAGACGGGUGAGUAACGCGUGGGAAUCUACCCAUCUCUACGGAAUAACGCAUGGAAACGUGUGCUAAUACCGUAUACGUCCUUCGGGAGAAAGAUUUAUCGAAGAUGGAUGAGCCCGCGUUGGAUUAGCUAGUUGGUGGGGUAAAGGCCUACCAAGGCGACGAUCCAUAGCUGGUCUGAGAGGAUGAUCAGCCACACUGGGACUGAGACACGGCCCAGACUCCUACGGGAGGCAGCAGGGGGGAGUAUUGGACAAUGGGCGCAAGCAUGAUCCAGCCAUGCCGCGUGAGUGAUGAAGGCCCUAGGGUUGUAAAGCUCUUUCACCGGUGAAGAUAAUGACGGUAACCGGAGAAGAAGCCCCGGCUAACUUCGUGCCAGCCGCCGCCGUAACAC